UGUAGCUAAUGCAUCAGACUGAUGAUCUCAUGGAAUGUGGGUGUUUUUUUCUGUUUGCCGUGGUGUUGAAGAUUUCAUCGUGGAUGUCGUUGAAUUUAUGGAUCUACUAUCUCAAUCACGGAUGAUGAUGUCUCAACUUCCUUUUUAGACAUCCUGAAGUCUUGUUCUCCUCCACUUGAGCUUGAAAUUUGACACGAUUCCUUGUCUGGAUGCAGAGCUAACAGAUGGACAGGUUCGGCAGGCCAUGGGAAAUUUUAACUCGUGAGAAUGGUUACCUCACACGAUGUAGCUGUUGUUUUACUCACACUUAUUAUUCAGACCUCCAUUAAAGUAACUCACAAUCACAUGCAAAUGCUUGCCAUCAAAAUCCCUCCU
rnacentral:lncRNA from 1 species